rnacentral:rRNA from 1 species
ACGCUCGACACCUACUGGAGGCAGCAGUGGGGAAUAUUGGGCAAUGGAGGCAACUCUGACCCAGCAACGCCGCGUGAGUGAUGAAGGUCUUCGGAUUGUAAAACUCUUUAAGUAGGGACGAAGAAAGUGACGGUACCUACAGAAUAAGCCUCGGCUAACUACGUGCUAGCAGCCGCGGUAAUCUGAGGCGGGCUGGCAAGGC